rnacentral:rRNA from 1 species
GACGAACGCUGGCGGCGUGCCUAACACAUGCAAGUCGAGCGGAGAAAUUAAAGCUUGCUUUAAUUUCUUAGCGGCGGACGGGUGAGUAACACGUGGGCAACCUGCCCUUGAGAGGGGGAUAACACAGAGAAAUUUGUGCUAAUACCGCAUAACAUUUGGACUUCGCCUGGAGUUUAAAUCACAGGAGUAAUCCGCCCAAGGAUGGGCCCGCGGCGCAUUAGCUAGUUGGGGAGGUAAUGGCUCACCAAGGCGACGAUGCGUAGCCGACCUGAGAGGGUGAUCGGCCACAUUGGAACUGAGACACGGUCCAGACUCCUACGGGAGGCAGCAGUGGGGAAUAUUGCGCAAUGGGGGAAACCCUGACGCAGCAACGCCGCGUGAGCGAUGAAGGCCUUCGGGUUGUAAAGCUCUGUCUUUGGGGACGAUAAUGACGGUACCCAAGGAGGAAGCCACGGCUAACUACGUGCCAGCCGCCGCCGUAACAC